rnacentral:rRNA from 1 species
AGCAGCCGCGGUAAUUCCAGCUCCAAUAGCGUAUAUUAAAGUUGUUGCAGUUAAAAAGCUCGUAGUUGAAUUUCGGGAUCAAUACGUCGGUCGUGCUUCGGUACGCACUGGCGUCAUUGAUUUUUCCCUUCUGACGAACCAUGAUGUCAUUAACUUGGUGUCAUGGGAAAUCAGGACUGUUACUUUGAAAAAUUAGAGUGUUUAAAGCAGGCUCACGCUUGAAUACAUUAGCAUGGAAUAAUGAAAUAGGACGUUCGAUCCUAUUUUGUUGGUUUUAGGAUCAACGUAAUGAUUAAUAGGGAUAGUUGGGGGCAUUAGUAUUCAAUUGUCAGAGUGAAAUUCUUGGAUUUAUUGAAGACUAACUACUGCGAAAGCAUUUG